rnacentral:rRNA from 1 species
CGGACGGGUGAGUAAUGUCUGGGAAACUGCCCGAUGGAGGGGGAUAACUACUGGAAACGGUAGCUAAUACCGCAUAACGUCGCAAGACCAAAGAGGGGGACCUUCGGGCCUCUUGCCAUCGGAUGUGCCCAGAUGGGAUUAGCCAGUAGGUGGGGUAACGGCUCACCUAGGCGACGAUCCCUAGCUGGUCUGAGAGGAUGACCAGCCACACUGGAACUGAGACACGGUCCAG